CACGUAGGCGGAUUGUUAAGUCAGGGGUGAAAUCCUGAGGCUCAACCUCAGAACUGCCCUUGAUACUGGCAAUCUCGAGUCCGGAAGAGGUGAGUGGAAUUCCCAGUGUAGAGGUGAAAUUCGUAGAUAUUGGGAAGAACACCAGUGGCGAAGGCGGCUCACUGGUCCGGUACUGACGCUGAGGUGCGAAAGCGUGGGGAGCAAACA
rnacentral:rRNA from 1 species